CACAUGGGGCCAGCGCCCUACUCCUUUGAGCCACAGGUGCCGCCCUGCUGCUCUUUCUUCUGUCCGUUUUCACUGCUCAGAUUCUAAUUGUAAGAGAGAAAGUCUGAUUGGCUGGGCGAAGGUGUCAGCACAUUCUUCAUAUUGAACUAGAUCUUGAAGGAAGAGUAGAAAUGUGCUAAAGGGAAAAGGAAAGAACAUUCCCUGUGGAAAGAACAGCAUAUGCAUCAACCGAAAGAUGGCGUCAGCUUUGAAUGGUGCUUGCCACAUGCCAGAUGCUUUUCUAUUCAUGUCAUUUGCUCACUGCUCACAACCUUAUGAAAAUACAUGAUUAAUUUUUUGAAAAAAUUGUAUUGUUUUUAUAAAAAUGUUGUUGUGCUUUUACAAAGAAUUCAAGUUAUAUGGCAGAAUGCUGCAAAAAUGGGAGAAAUCAACUGCAAAUCCUAGUGCCCAACACCAUCAGAAGCAGCAAACAUGUCAGAAUUCAGUAUAUUCCCUACAAAAGGGAGAGAACUCUUGUAUUCUGUCGAGAUGCUGAUGUAACACUGAGAUGGAGAUCUCCACUUCCUUUUAUUAAUUACCUGGCAUAUUGGACACAACUAAUCAACUUGGCAUGGAAAGAUAAUUCAUCCUGCAGAUAAUUAAUUACUACUCACCAUGCAGAGGUGAAAAUUUUGUCCUGAUGGGGCUACAUGUGUGCCAACUUCUGUGUAGUAUCCCAUGUCUUCCAA